CCUACGGGAGGCAGCAGUGGGGAAUUUUGGACAAUGGGCGCAAGCCUGAUCCAGCAAUGCCGCGUGCAGGAUGAAGGCCUUCGGGUUGUAAACUGCUUUUGUACGGAACGAAAAGGCUCUGGCUAAUACCUGGGGCUGAUGACGGUACCGUAAGAAUAAGCACCGGCUAACUACGUGCCAGCAGCCGCGGUAAUACGUAGGGUGCGAGCGUUAAUCGGAAUUACUGGGCGUAAAGCGUGCGCAGGCGGUUUUGUAAGACAGGUGUAAAAUCCCCGGGCUUAACCUGGGAACUGCACUUGUGACUGCAAGGCUGGAGUACGGCAGAGGGGGAUGGAAUUCCGCGUGUAGCAGUGAAAUGCGUAGAUAUCAGGAGGAACACCGGUGGUGAAGACGGCUUUCUGGACCGCUGCUGACGCCGAGGCACGAAAGCGUGGGGAGCAAACAGGAUUAGAUCCCCCUGUAGU
rnacentral:rRNA from 1 species